rnacentral:tRNA from 2 species
GCUGGUGUGGCGGAAUGGCAGACGCGACGGACUCAAAAUCCGUUGGUGGCAACAUCAUGUGGGUUCGACUCCCACCACCAGCACCA